rnacentral:rRNA from 1 species
ACGACAUUGCCUAGUACGGCGAGUGAAGCGGCAAAAGCUCAAAUUUGAAAUCUAGCACUUUCAGUGUUCGAGUUGUAAUUUGAAGAAGGUAACUUUGGUUUUGGCUCUUGUCUAUGUUCCUUGGAACAGGACGUCACAGAGGGUGAGAAUCCCGUGCGAUGAGAUGCCCAAUUCCAUGUAAAGUGCUUUCGAAGAGUCGAGUUGUUUGGGAAUGCAGCUCUAAGUGGGUGGUAAAUUCCAUCUAAAGCUAAAUAUUGGCGAGAGACCGAUAGCGAACAAGUACAGUGAUGGAAAGAUGAAAAGAACUUUGAAAAGAGAGUGAAAAAGUACGUGAAAUUGUUGAAAGGGAAGGGCUUGAGAUCAGACUUGGUAUUUUGCGUUCCCUUCCUUUUUGGUUGGGUUCCUCGCAGUUUACUGGGCCAGCAUCGGUUUGGAUGGUAGGAUAAUGACAUUGGAAUGUAGCUUUACUUCGGUGAAGUGUUAUAGACUUUGUUGAUACUGCCUAUCUAGACCGAGGACUGCGUCUUUGACUAGGAUGCUGGCGUAAUGAUCUUAAGCCGCCCGUCUUAA